GACGAACGCUGGCGGCGUGCUUAACACAUGCAAGUCGAACGGAAAGGCCCUGCUUUUGUGGGGUGCUCGAGUGGCGAACGGGUGAGUAACACGUGAGUAACCUGCCCUUGACUUUGGGAUAACUUCAGGAAACUGGGGCUAAUACCGGAUAGGAGCUCCUGCUGCAUGGUGGGGGUUGGAAAGUUUCGGCGGUUGGGGAUGGACUCGCGGCUUAUCAGCUUGUUGGUGGGGUAGUGGCUUACCAAGGCUUUGACGGGUAGCCGGCCUGAGAGGGUGAACGGCCACAAUGGGACUGAGGUACGGCCCAGACUCCUACGGGAGGCAGCAGUGGGGAAUAUUGCACAAUGGGCGGAAGCCUGAUGCAGCAACGCCGCGUGCGGGAUGACGGCCUUCGGGUUGUAAACCGCUUUCGCAUGUGACGAAGCGUGAGUGACGGUAAUGGGUAAAGAAGCACCGGCUAACUACGUG
rnacentral:rRNA from 1 species